rnacentral:sRNA from 12 species
AAAAAUCUUACUAUUAUAUUUGUAUUAAAAUUUGUAUAAGUAUAAAAGCACUUAUACAGCCAUUCUGCUCGAAAUGGUACAGCGGUUUUUUAACUGGUGUUAUGAAUUGUAGCAACGCGAGAGUCGGCGUAUAACAGGCUUGGCGGUACUCUGUGCGGGUAUUCUAACAACGAUAUAAUUUAGAAAGUAAGCUAAAUCGGGACUUCUGGGGCGGAGUACAGAAGAAUAGACGAGCUAGUCUAUGUUAGAAUAAGU